UCUUUUAUGUAUGAUUUGUCAUAAAGAUGUCAUAAAUGGGAUGCUCCAUAUUUGUACUUCUGAUUUUUUUUUCUUUUAAAUGAUCUAUAUAAUAUAUUGGUUUGUCAUUUGUGUUUGUAACUGUUGGCAUUUAUUGGGAGAAGCAUGUGAGAUGUGGUUAGUUAAUUUUAUAAGUUUUAGGGCAUUAAGUAUUCAAGUGAUAAUAGGGUAUGAAUUGUGAGGGUUUUAUUUUAUGAAUUCGCUGUUAUUUCAAAUAUUUAAUUUCUUAUUGAAGUUAAAAGACAAUCUCUCAUUUCC
rnacentral:lncRNA from 1 species